rnacentral:ncRNA from 1 species
GAGAAGGGUUCCAUGUGAACAGCAGUUGAACAUGGGGCAGUCGGUCCUAAGAGAUGGUCGAACGCCGUUCGGAAGGGCAUAGCAAUGGCCUACGUCGCCCCCGGCAAAUCGAAAGGGAGCUGGGUUCAGAUGGCGGAGACAGGCGCCGCGAGGCGCCGCGAGGCACCCAGUGCGGCGACGCAAACGAUUCCGGAGAAGCUGGCGGGACCCCCGGGAAGAGUUCUCCUUUCUUUGUGAAGGGCAGGGCGCUCUGGAACGGAUUAAUCCAGUGUGCAGUUACACCUAGAAAGCUUUUAUUGUAAGCAGUCCAGAUGUCUGCUGUGGUAGAGACAUGUUGUAAACCCUCAAAUGUUUUUUUUUGCUCUACCUGCAUUUUUGCAUAUUCUC